rnacentral:rRNA from 1 species
CGGAGGGUGCAAGCGUUAUCCGGAUUUAUUGGGUUUAAAGGGUCCGUAGGCGGACCGAUAAGUCAGUGGUGAAAUCUCAUAGCUUAACUAUGAAACUGCCGUUGAUACUGUCGGUCUUGAGUAAAUUUGAAGUGGCUGGAAUAAGUAGUGUAGCGGUGAAAUGCAUAGAUAUUACUUAGAACACCAAUUGCGAAGGCAGGUCACUAAGAUUAACUGACGCUGAGGGACGAAAGCGUGGGGAGCGAACAGGAUU